ACAGAACAUCAACAAUACAAUAUAUAUAUAGAAUAACAAUAACAAGUGGAGUAUCUAACUGACAGAUGAUAUUUCUAACCUCCUAUUUACUACCUAGUAAUACAAUGGGUACAUAUAAAGAGUCAACAACUUCCCUCAUGAAGUAACGAAUAUAUGAGAAUGCUUAAUUUUCAAGUCUGUCGGCAACAGAGACAAUACGAACAUUUAAAGUUUUCUAUUCGUCUUUUAGCAUCACAACAUAAAGCAUUUAAAAUUUAGAUCAAAAGGGAUAAUUCUUAAGCAUCACCAUGUUAAUCCCCACAAGAUUAAGGUAACCUGAAGAAAACUCUAAAAAUAGGAAAGUUGUAAACAUCUAAAGCUAAGACAUUUGAUUAUCUAAUAUUUGAAUUACAUGUGCUUAAGCAUUACACAAAUAAUUACACCUUAUGUAAGAAUCCUUGGUUUUGAUUGGUUGAUAGCCAGUGUAUUUUUCGUCAAAUUUACUAUUAUCAAAUGAAUAUCCUUCAUUUUUUAACCCCGCCAAGGUAUAUAUAUGCAAAAAGGAUAAAUGCGUUUUUGAACUUUAACAUUCGAUGUAAUUAAACAGAUAUAGCAUGUUCUUGAGGGGUAUUUGCGAUAAAUACCCCUCCUUAACAUGACAUAUCUGUUCAGAAUCCUAUCCUAAUUACAUCUAAAAAUAAACUCCUGCAUGAAGGUCACCUCCCUUACAUGUUUUUAAUUACACAUGCUACAUAAUUAUACAUUGAAGCUAAUACUGAAGCUUUUAUAAUCAACAUUGAGUUACAAAAUGUUUAACUAAGUUUUUUUCUUCAUGUUUUUCUUUUUGGCAAUUUAGUAGUGAGUUGAAUAGCAUUAAUUAGUAUUUCAAUGCAUCAAAUUCAUAUUUCGACAUGUAAGAAGCAAAAUAUUAUUUUUAUAUCUAAUGCCAUCUUAAAAACUGUUGAGAGCUGAGAAACAGAUAAUUAACCUAGCUACCACAACAGAGCUUUGCACAAGGGAAAUGUUAUAAUAAAAAGUAUUAAACCUUUUUCUAAUUAUAUACGGGUUAUUAACAUAAUUAACAAGUAGAUUACAAAUCUUAUCUUUUUCAAAGAGCACUACCCGACAUGCCUACAACAUCGUAUACAUAUAUCUAAAUGAUUAUACACAUGAUCUAAUCUUACAGUGUAUGAAUCUCAAAAUAUGAGUAUAUAUAGAUGGUGAUGCUAAAACAUACUAUAUACUAAAAAAUUACAAUCCACAAAACAGUUUUAUCUCGUUUAACUAAGAGCACCUACAUAAGUUGUAUGGGACAAAAUAAUAAAUUGCUCAUCUAAAUAACAAUAGCAAGAGGUAAUUAAGAGUUCAAUUAGUGUACCAGUACAAUACAAUAGCAAUACAUUUCUUUGAAUAAUCACAAGACUAGUUAGAAAUAAAAGAUAAUAAAUCAUUUUUGAUAUUCAUAUAUGUAUAUAAUAAAUUUUAAAUAAAAAUUAAAAAAACUGUGUGGAUUUCAGUGUGAGGAUUUGGCAUCAUGUGACCUGAUUUUAUUUAAGUCAUGUGACCUGCUCUUGUUUGAAUGGGAACAGGAACUGCUCUUGAUAAAAAAAGAAACCUGCAUUGGAGAUGUUAGCUGCUGUUUAAAAUAACAAAAUUUCUAAAAAAAACAACAAAAAACAACAAAAAAACGAAGAAAAAAACUGAUAUAUAAGUAACAGAACCCAAAAAGCAGAAAAAAAAAGUUUUGUCAUAAAAGACUGUCCAUAAAGCUGCCACAUUGAUUAUGUUUGUGGAACUUUUUUUUUUUUGAGAGGCGGGGGGGGGGGGGAAGGGGGGAAGGGAAGGGGAAGAUUACAUCACAAAGGAAGUCAAGCAACCAGCAAUCCAUCAAUCAAUCAAAUUAAGAAUUUGUUACACCAAUCAUAGAUGUAGUACUAUUGAGUGGUAUGAGUGUAAGUUAUGUGUGUGUGUGUUUGACUAGUUUAAGACUUAUCUAGAUCAAAAAUCUAUUGCCGACAUGUGCUGUACAAAAACCUGUACCACUUUGACAAGUAACAAUUUACUAUGAAUUAUGACCAGUAGUAAACAUUGUGAUUGAUAAAAUCAAUAAAAAAUAUACUCAACAAACAAGAAAAGACAUAAUUGUAAUCCAUACAUAUUUCAAAUGGAAACGAAACAUUUUCAU
rnacentral:lncRNA from 1 species